rnacentral:lncRNA from 1 species
CGCAAUACUAAUCCAUAAAGCUUUUGCUUCCACCCUUAAACCUUAAACGUGACUAAAAAAAUUACAAUAUUUAACAUAUUAAAAUAAUGUUAAAAAAACUUUAAACACCUUCCAAAUGGUUCGACCAAAUCAAUGUUACACCCACCAAUUUCUAGAGAAAUUCGGCAAGGAAAAUUACACUGAUUUAAUGCAAAAUGAGGGCACGAAUGGAAUCCGACUUCAUUGUUGAUCCGGGAUGUUCAAAUUAGUUUCUACAACCAAAAUAUUAUUGAAAAUAAGUAAUUUAAAACCAAUUACGAGCCCUAAAAAAUCAGCCAUAGCAUCCUCUAUUAACGAAAACAAUACUAUGUAGUUAUUCGCACCAAUCGCACUUACGCUUUCCGUUUUACUAAAUCCGAGUUGCCAAACGAAUGGGAUCAGAAACACUUAUAAAGGACAAGACCGAAGGCUGAUUAGAAUACAGGAACAACGAAUUAAACUUGCUGAAGAGUGGCAGAAAAGAGAAGAAAAAUGGCAGCCCCAUAAUAAUGAUUCAAGGGACGGCAUACCACCACAAUUGGCACAAUAAGGGGCUAUUUUUGUUCAGCACCAAAAAGGGAAUUUAAGGGCUGGUUAGGGAUUGUUUUUAGACUUGAAAAAAAAGGAAAAAAGGCUGGAAAUGGAGCAUAAAACAUCAAUUAAUGGCUCGAUAUGACAACCAACAAAGGGGAUCUAAGGGCAACAGAUACCACCAACGGCGGUAGCUCUAAGGCUAGUUUGGGGUAGUUUAAAAGGGGUGUUUAAGGGUUGAUUUGAACAACAACAAAAAAACAUGAGAUCUCAACAAAACAAUAGCUUAAAAUCCACAACAAAGGAAAUAAGACGAAGGAGAGAAAGAAUGGCACUUACACUGAGAAGAGAAUGAGCAGCACAAUAGAGUUUUUUGGGGGUAGCACAGUGAAGGAGAAAUGAAGCAAAAACGAGAGAAUUUGAGAGAAGGAAAAGGAUUGGAUGGAUACAGCAAAAGAAAAGAUGAAAAAAAGGCUAAAAAAUGGUUGAAAAUGUUACAUUUAUACUUACAUUAACUAGGCUGGGUGGCACAAAAAUAGGAGAGGAAAAUAGAAAAAAUUUAGUCAUUUUGUAAGGGAAAGGAAACAAACUCGGGUAUCUAAUCCAACUACACUCGGUCCUUAUUUUCUCUUCACCUUU